AUCCGGUUCGGGCGCAGGGCCGCCGGGCGCGGAGGCAGCCAUGGUGCGGUUCAAACACAGGUACCUGCUCUGCGAAGUGGUGUCUGAUGACCCCCGCUGCCGCCUGAGUCUGGAGGACCGAGUGCUGGGCGGCCUCAUACGGGACACGAUCGCCCGCGUGCACGGGACUUUCGGCGCGGCCUCCUGCUCCAUCGGCUUCGCGGUGCGAUACCUCAAUGCCUAUACUGGAAUAGUGCUACUUCGAUGCCGGAAGGAAUUCUACCAACUUGUGUGCUCAGCUCUUCCUUUCAUCACAUACUUGGAGAACAAAGGACACCGUUACCCGUGUUUCCUCAACACCUUACACGUGGGAGGUACAAUUAGAACAUGUCAGAAGUUCCUGAUUCGUUACAACAGGAGACAGCUGUUGAUCUUAUUGCAGAACUGCACUGAUGAAGCAGAACGGGAAGCUAUCCAGAAGUCUGUCACCAGAAGCUGUUUACUAGAGGAGAGAUCAGAUGAGGAGGAGCUUUCAGACAAUGGCGGUGAGGAGGAGGCUGCUGAAGCAAUGGAGUGAACCUCUCUGCAGGCUGUGCUGGGCCUGAGAUUCAGGGCCCACUUGUUGGAACAGGACAUUCUGGAAGGCAGCAGCAUCUGCUAGUUUGCCAAAAUGGAUGACUGCAGACCAGAGGCCAAGGGCUGGAACACCCUCAUGCACCCAGGACAGUUCCUGUCCCAGGAUUUCUGAACCUCUUUCUUAAAAGAAUGACAGGUAAAGCUAAGCCCAACUCGGGAACCCCUUAGGCCUGACAGUAGGAAAGACACUGCCCCGUGUCGGCAGAGUGCUCAAGCUUGUAGCAGCUAUUACUUUAACCUAUUUAAGAAGUGUGUCUAGGGGCGCCUGGGGUGGCUCAGUCGUUAAGCGUGCUGCCUUCGG